rnacentral:rRNA from 1 species
UACGGGAGGGGCAAGCGUUGUUCGGAUUUACUGGGCGUAAAGGGCGCGUAGGCGGCGUGUUAAGUCAGCUGUGAAAUCUCCAAGCUUAACUUGGAACGGUCAGCUGAUACUGAUGUGCUAGAGUGCAGAAAGGGCAAUCGGAAUUCUUGGUGUAGCGGUGAAAUGCGUAGAUAUCAAGAGGAACACCUGAGGCGAAGGCGGGUUGCUAGGCUGACACUGACGCUGAGGCGCGAAAGCUAGGGUAGCAAACGGG